rnacentral:rRNA from 1 species
CCAGCAGCUGCGGUAAUUCCAGCUCCAAUAGCGUAUAUUAAAGUUGUUGCAGUUAAAAAGCUCGUAGUUGGAUUUCGGGUGGGGCCGUCCGGUCCGCCGUUUCGGUGUGCACUGGCCGGGCCCACCUUGUUGUCGGGGACGGGCUCCUGGGCUUCGCUGUCCGGGACCCGGAGUCGGCGUGGUUACUUUGAGUAAAUUAGAGUGUUCAAAGCAGGCCUACGCUCUGAAUACAUUAGCAUGGAAUAACACGAUAGGACUCUGGCCUAUCCUGUUGGUCUGUAGGACCGGAGUAAUGAUUAAGAGGGACAGUCGGGGGCAUUCGUAUUUCAUUGUCAGAGGUGAAAUUCUUG